rnacentral:rRNA from 1 species
UACGGAGGGUGCAAGCGUUAUCCGGAUUCACUGGGUUUAAAGGGUGCGUAGGUGGGUUGGUAAGUCAGUGGUGAAAGCCUGCAGCUUAACUGCAGAAUUGCCAUUGAUACUGAUGGUCUUGAGUACACUUGAGGUGGGCGGAAUGUGUCAUGUAGCGGUGAAAUGCUUAGAUAUGACACAGAACACCGAUUGCGAAGGCAGCUCACUAAAUUGUAGCUGACGCUGAUGCACGAAAGCGUGGGGAUCAAACAGG